ensembl:lncRNA
UGUCAGAUCACUUCUGAGAAUUUUCAUCGGUGUGGAUCUCGUGUGGUGGAACGGAACCAAUAAAUCUGGACCCUUGCUUCUUCUCACUCACGGAUGGUGUCUUUUUUUCUAUCUCCAACUGGGUUCGGAGAUGUGAGUAUUUGCUUCUAUGUUGAAUUUUAAGUGUUUUUGAGUAAUAGGCUAAAUUUGAGCCAGCAGUAAUUAGCAGGGUGGGAGGUGUCACUGGUGAUGGUAUUGAAUGCCGAGCAGAAAUCUACAAAGAGGAUCCUGGCAUAUAUGUUUGGUGAGGCUAGGUGCUGGGUACCUACUCAAGAUGUUCUGGACAUCCUCCUUUAUAAUGAGUUCCAUGCCCUUUAUCCUGAAAUGUUUUUUUUUUUUUUUUUUUUAAAUGUACUCCAAAUCACCAAACGAUACAAAGUAUCAUUCAGUUUGUUAUUGUUAUCCUGGUUUUUGCUCUGUUUGCUUUGUCUCACUUUUUGAAUUUGUUUGUUUCGCUGCUUUCAAUAAAAGCACUAUUUUGCUACCGCAUCUGCUUUAUCCGUCUGACACAAUACAACCUGAAAAGUCCUUCAAAUAGACAUUUACAGGCAUAGGAUACCUUAUCUUAUAAAAUGGGAUACACAAAAAUUAUAAUCUAUAAAGCAGCAAAUUUUUUUUAUCUAUUAAAAAUUAACUUCAAUAAAUGUACAAACAUUAUGGCAUACUGGGCAGCACUGCCGCCUCACAGCACCAGGGUCCAGGGUUCAAUCCUGAGCUCGGGGUACUGUGUGUGUUUGUGUGGGUUUCCUCCAAUAUCAUCCCACUGUCCAAAAACAUGCAGGUAGGCGGAUUGGUUAUGUGUCGUGAUGCCCUGCAUUGGACUGGCAUUCCAUUUGGGGUGAAUUCUCCCAUCUUGUACCCAGUGUUACAUUUCAUACAGUUGAUUGAGACCCUGACUAGGAUAAAGCAGUAAAUAAAGAUCAAUGAAUGAUGAAUGUCAAUGUUUUAGUGACUAUAAGGUCUUUCCUCUAAAUUCCACUGCAGUAGAAAAACAUAAUACUGAAGAUGAAAAGGUUUUAGUUACAGUAGUACUGUGUACUGCAUGAAUCCUAAGUGCACACUAAACAGCUUUAAAAUAACUUCUGUACCAAUCACAUUAGAGUUUUUUUUUCUUUUUUUAUACAUUUUAUGUUACAGUAGUGCAGACAGAACAAAUGGCACACAGACUCC